GACUCAAAAACUAUUUUAAUAUUGACAUAUUUUAGAAUGAAUGGUGUAUCAUAGAUGAAUUGUAGUGAAUAAUGACAUGUGGUUUAUAUAGAAAAUAAAAUAUUCUUCUACAGCCAUUAAAUGAGCCCAUGUUGAAAAGAAUCCAUUAGAUUAUUGUAGAGCUAUGACCAAUCUAAUUUGGAAUUGUAUAAAAAUAAUUUUUUGAGUGGUGUCUAAUUUUUAGAUUCUAUUAAUUACUCAAUAUUACAACAUUUUAUCAUCAUCAAAUUUACUAUGAUAAUAUUAUUACUAUUCUAAUGAUAUCAUUAAUACUUAAUAGCAGCUAUAAAAGCACUAUUCUCAAUCAUAAUUUUUUGCAUGGAUACAUUCCAAAUUACUACAUUCUAAGACCUACU
rnacentral:lncRNA from 1 species